CAAUAGUCUUUGCAUUGCAUCUUAACAGAUCCUCAAGAUUCCAUUGCAUUUCUAAACUUACUCCAAUCUGUCUGCUGUUAUCCUGUUGGAAUUUGGAGCGCUUCCAAUCAUAAAACCAAUACGGAAGGAAAACAGUCUGAUGGUAACACAAAGCAGUGACCCAAAUAGAAAGAAUUACCACCAGCAUUUUGCCUUCCAAAGCAGUAAAUCAAUUCAUAAGUUCUGAAAGUUGACAUGGUCAUUUUGCAUCAGUUAAUUUCUAGUCCUCAAAGCAUUUACAUGGAAAUGGAAGGGAAACAACUACAGGACAGAAAACCAAAGUUGAUAAUUGACAAAAUAAAAAUACCAAUAGACAAGGUAACCAAUUCCUAGCUAGAAGUCCAAACGUAAACCUGGCCCCCAGUAGUUGCUCCUGCUAGCAUUCCGACCUUGCAAGGAUGUGCAUCAAAUCUGCAUGGAAUAGCAGACAUGUGGGAACUUUGUAGAGUCAAAAUUGAUCUUCUUUGUGAGCAAGAGAUGACAUCAACUCCUCGUUUCAUAUUGCCAAUGAAGAUAGAUGAAUCAUCCCAACCCCAUAUUCCUCUGAAAGGAGAAAGCCAUCUGCCUGUCUGAUUAUAAUGGUAUAUCAUAGAAGUGUCCUCAAAAUUAACACCACCUAGUAUACCGACAGUGUUGUCAGCACUUGUUGUUGCUAGGAAGCUUCCAGAAGGUGAGAAGUAAGCAGAAUGCACAGCCCUAUUAUGGUUUAGUAUCUUUAAACUUUUCGCCUUAUCUGCAUUUACACUUCUUAAAUCCCAGAGGCAAGCAGUCCCAUCUGUGGAACUAGUGGCCAUAAUGUUAGGAUUUUGUGAAUUGAAAUCUAUGGAGUUGAUUCUGUCUUCAUGCAGAAUCCACUGGGAGGAAAAUCUUCCUGUCCUCUCAUCCCAGAUAUUCAAUCCUCCACCACGACCCUCACCAAAAUAUAAGCCAUUCAUGUCAUUUGGUCGUUGGGAGAGUGAAAAUAUAGCAUCAUCACCUGAGUAUACCAGAUCAAAUACUUCCUUCUCAGCAUUCAUCAACCGAAGAAAGCCAUCAUAGCAGCUGGUAUAGAUCUUGGACAAGCAAGAUUGCUGACACAAAAUCCCCGAAAUGGGACCAGUGUGGUGGCGAUACAAAAAUAUCCCAUCCCCCUCUUCCCCUUUACUAUCCAUAUUCCAAAAUGCAACGUUGCCAAACUUAUUCCCUGCGACAAUCAUCCUCACAUCAUUACAAGGCAAAAACCUCACUGCCAUUAUCCUCCCUGGCAAAACUCUUGCUAUAUUCUCCUUUUUCAAGCCCAUUGACCACACAUCAACACAACUCUCAGUUUCCUUAUCGUCUAUCUUAAUUCCAUAGUCCAAAUACUCAUCUUUAACCACACCCUUAACUGAAUCAUGCGAAAUUCCAUCACUUUGCUCCAUCUUUACAGCCUCACAUCUAUCAAAUUUCUUUUUAAUUGAAACAUCCACUUGGGGCUUCUUUUCAAGAAACAGAAUCGUGUCUAUUAGAGCUCGAUCAGACUCUGUUCCACUGUAGGCAUCCCUCAUACUAAGCGGUCCCAUAACACGCGGCGAAGGCCUUGGUUUACUGAUUCGCGUCGGACUUCUAUCAGGAGUCUCAACAGAGUAAUCUAAACCUCCUGAAUCAGGCGGCAUUCCUCUCGUGCGUAGUGACCGCCGAAUGACAAUCGGGGACUGGGAUUUGGCGACUUUCUUCUCUGGACUCAAUUUAUAGGACUUGGAUAAUCCAACUUUUUGGCGCUUGGUAGCUGCAGAGAGUUGAGAGACAGUCGAGUGGAUCUUGAGGGCGGCCAUCAUUUGGUCGUUCCGACGAAUGUUUUCGAGCCUCUUCUUCUCGUAUUCUGUUAGCUUUGGAGGCGCCAUUGAUGCCGGUAGAGAGAGGGUUUUGGCACUGGUGUGGCUGGUGGCGGUGGCCGUGUUUUAUUUAUAUUAAUUGCGCGGUCAGAUGAUUUUUGGCGGGAAAUAAAAUUUCAUGACAUACGUGGCGGCUUGUUGGCCGUUCAAUUUUG
rnacentral:misc_RNA from 1 species